CACGACUCUCGGCAACGGAUAUCUCGGCCCUGGCCACGAUGAAGAACGUAGCGAAAUGCGAUACUUAGUGUGAAUUGCAGAAUCCCGUGAGUCAUCCAGUCUUUGAAUGCAAGUUGCGCCCGAGGCUUCGAAUGAGGGCACGUCUGCCUGGGUGUCGCACACAAUCGAAUCGCCCCAUUGCCUGCGUGCGGGCGGUGGAGGGGAGCUGGCUGUCCGUGUCCCUUGUGACACCGUCGGCUUAACCGGAUUGCGCUCCCCUUGUCGGGCAUCGGCGAGCGGUCGUUCGGUCGUCUUGGAUGAUCGAUACGCGGCACCGUAAGUGCACGGCAUGCGGGGAAGGCCCCCUCGACUUGAUCACACUCGGGAGGCCUAGGCUUCGGCCGGAGUUCCUCC
rnacentral:rRNA from 1 species